CCUACGGGUGGCAGCAGUGGGGAAUAUUGCACAAUGGGCGCAAGCCUGAUGCAGCCAUGCCGCGUGUGUGAGGAAGGCCUUCGGGUUGUAAAGCACUUUCAGCGGGGAGGAAGGCGUUAAGGUUAAUAACCUUGUCGAUUGACGUUACCCGCAGAAGAAGCACCGGCUAACUCCGUGCCAGCAGCCGCGGUAAUACGGAGGGUGCAAGCGUUAAUCGGAAUUACUGGGCGUAAAGCGCACGCAGGCGGUCUGUCAAGUCGGAUGUGAAAUCCCCGGGCUCAACCUGGGAACUGCAUUCGAAACUGGCAGGCUAGGGUCUUGUAGAGGGGGGUAGAAUUCCAGGUGUAGCGGUGAAAUGCGUAGAGAUCUGGAGGAAUACCGGUGGCGAAGGCGGCCCCCUGGACAAAGACUGACGCUCAGGUGCGAAAGCGUGGGGAGCAAACAGGAUUAGAUACCCGAGUAGUC
rnacentral:rRNA from 1 species